AAAAAAAUGAUCAAGUAAGAAAGGGCGUACGGUGGAUGCCUAGGCACAUGGAGCUGAAGAAGGACGCAUCAAACGGCGAAACGCUGCGGGGAGCUGUAAGAAAGCAAAGAUCCGCAGAUAUCCGAAUGGAGGAAUCCGGCACACGUAAUAGUGUGUCAUCAUGAGGGCGAAUACAUAACCCUAUGAGAGCAACCCGGGGAACUGAAACAUCUAAGUACCCGGAGGAAAAGAAAACAAAAGUGAUUCCCUGAGUAGCGGCGAGCGAAAGGGGAGGAGCCCAAACCAGUUCUUGAACUGGGGUUGUAGGACCGCAAUAGAAGCAAGAGCGAGGAUAGUGGAACGGCAUCGAAAGGCCGGCCGAAGAGGGUGCAAGCCCCGUACAUGAAAUCCGAGUGAAGCGAAGCGGGAUCCUGAGUACGGCGAGACACGAGAAAUCUAGUCGGAAGCAGGCGGGACCAUCCGUCAAGGCUAAAUACUCCCAUGUGACCGAUAGUGAACCAGUACCGUGAGGGAAAGGUGAAAAGAACCGCGGGAGCGGAGUGAAAGAGAACCUGAAACCGUAUGCUUACAAGAAGUCAGAGCCCGUUAAAGGGUGAUGGCGUGCCUUUUGUAGAAUGAACCGGCGAGUUGCGAAUACGUGCGAGGUUAAGUAGAAGAUACGGAGCCGAAGCGAAAGCGAGUCUUAAGAGGGCGAAAGUACGUGAACGCAGACCCGAAACCGUGUGAUCUAGCCAUGACCAGGUUGAAGUUGAGGUGAAACUCAAUGGAGGACCGAACCGACUACCGUUGAAAAGUUAGCGGAUGAGUUGUGGCUAGGGGAGAAAUUCCAAUCGAACACGGAGAUAGCUGGUUCUCCCCGAAAUAGCUUUAGGGCUAGCGUCGAGGAAGAGCCUUGUGGAGGUAGAGCACUGAAUGUACGAUGGCCCCAUCCCGGGGUACUGAGUAUAAUCAAACUCCGAAUGCCAUAAGGUAUACUCGGCAGUCAGACUGUGGGUGAUAAGGUCCAUGGUCAAGAGGGAAACAGCCCAGACCGCCAGUUAAGGUCCCAAAAUACAUGCUAAGUGGAAAAGGAUGUGGGGAUGCACAGACAACUAGGAGGUUGGCUCAGAAGCAGCCAUCCUUGAAAGAGUGCGUAACAGCUCACUAGUCGAGUGACCCUGCGCCGAAAAUGUACCGGGGCUAAGCAUGAUACCGAAGCUGCGGAUUAUCAGCAAUGAUAGUGGUAGGGGAGCGUUCCAUGCAGGUAGAAGCCAUACCGUAAGGAGUGGUGGACAGUAUGGAAGUGAGAAUGCCGGUGUGAGUAGCGAGAUGUAGGUGAGAAUCCUACACACCGAUAGCCCAAGGAUUCCAGGGGAAGGUUCGUCCGCCCUGGGUAAGUCGGGACCUAAGGCGAGGCCGAAAGGCGUAGUCGAUGGAAAACAGGCAGAUAUUCCUGUACCCGCGGUAGGAAUGAAGGAAUGACGGAGAAGGCUAGUCUGACCCACUGAAUGGAUUGUGGGCGAAGCAGAGCAGCCGGUGUAAAGUGAAAUGCGUACACGGAAGGCAGACUGUGACAGGUAAGCGAAAGCCCUCGGGCGAGUAGUGAAGCAGAUGAAGUCAGCUUCCAAGAAAAGUUUCUAGUGAUAAUCCUACAGCGGCCCGUACCAAAACCGACACAGGUGGGCAAGGAGAGUAUCCUGAGGUGAGCGAGAGAACUGUUGCCAAGGAACUCGGCAAAAUGACUCCGUAAGUUAGCGAGAAGGAGUGCACAGCAAUGUGCCGCAGUGAAGAGGCCCAAGCGACUGUUUAACUAAAACACAGCUCUCUGCGAAGUCGCAAGACGAAGUAUAGGGGGUGACGCCUGCCCGGUGCUGGAAGGUUAAGAGGAACUGUUAUCCGAAAGGAGAAGCAGCGAAUUGAAGCCCCAGUGAACGGCGGCCGUAACUAUAACGGUCCUAAGGUAGCGAAAUUCCUUGUCAGGUAAGUUCUGACCCGCACGAAAGGCGUAACGAUUUGGGCGCUGUCUCGGCAGCAGACUCGGUGAAAUCUUAGUACCUGUGAAAAUGCAGGUUACCCGCAACUAGACGGAAAGACCCCAUGGAGCUUUACUGCAGCCUGAUAUUGAGAUUUGAUCAAUGAUGUACAGGAUAGGUGGGAGACGAAGAGCUCGGCACGUCAGUGUCGAAGGAGUCGGUGUUGGGAUACCACCCUUGAUUGAUUGAAUUUCUAACCUGCUACCAUGAAGCUGGUAGAGGGAGAGUGUCAGGUGGGCAGUUUGACUGGGGCGGUCGCCUCCUAAAGAGUAACGGAGGCGCCCAAAGGUACCCUCAGAUUGGAUGGAAAUCAAUCGACGAGUGCAAAUGCAGAAGGGUGCUUGACUGUGAGACAAACAAGUCGAACAGGGACGAAAGUCGGGAUUAGUGAUCCGGCGGUGCCGAAUGGAAGGGCCGUCGCUCAACGGAUAAAAGCUACCCUGGGGAUAACAGGCUGAUCUCGCCCAAGAGUUCACAUCGACGGCGAGGUUUGGCACCUCGAUGUCGGCUCAUCGCAUCCUGGAGCUGAAUUCGGUUCCAAGGGUUGGGCUGUCCGCCCAUUAAAGCGGUACGCGAGCUGGGUUCAGAACGUCGUGAGACAGUUCGGUCCCUAUCUGUUGUGGGCGAAGGAAAUUUGAGGAGAGCUGUCCUUAGUACGAGAGGACCGGGAUGGACCUACCGCUGGUGCACCAGUUGUACUGCCAAGUGCAUAGCUGGGUAGCCAAGUAGGGAACGGAUAAGCGCUGAAAGCAUCUAAGCGCGAAACCGACUCCAAGAUGAGAUUUCCCAUUCGAAAGAAGUAAGACCCCUUGAAGACGACGAGGUAGAUAGGUCAGAGAUGGAAGCAUAGCGAUAUGUGGAGUUGACUGAUACUAAUCGGUCGAGGACUUGAUCACAA
rnacentral:rRNA from 1 species